UUGCACCUGAUGGCGAGUGGCCCCCUUUUUGAGUAAUGCAUCGGAACGUGCCCAAUCGUGGGGGAUAACGCAGCGAAAGCUGUGCUAAUACCGCAUACGAUCUAUGGAUGAAAGCGGGGGACCUUCGGGCCUCGCGCGAUUGGAGCGGCCGAUGUUAGAUUAGGUAGUUGGUGGGGUAAAGGCUCACCAAGCCGACGAUCUAUAGCUGGUCUGAGAGGACGACCAGCCACACUGGAACUGAGACACGGUCCAGACUCCUACGGGAGGCAGCAGGGGGGAAUUUUGGACAAUGGGCGCAAGCCUGAUCCAGCAAUACCGCGUGCAGGAAGAAGGCCUUCGGGUUGUAAACUGCUUUUGUACGGAACGAAAAGGCUCUUUCUAAUAAAGAGGGCUCAUGACGGUACCGUAAGAAUAAGCACCGGCUAACUACGUGCCAGCAGCCGCGGUAAUACGUAGGGUGCGAGCGUUAAUCGGAAUUACUGGGCGUAAAGCGUGCGCAGGCGGUUUUGUAAGACAGACGUGAAAUCCCCGGGCUCAACCUGGGAAUUGCGUUUGUGACUGCAAGGCUAGAGUACGGUAGAGGGGGGUAGAAUUCCGCGUGUAGCAAUGAAAUGCGUAGAUAUGCGGAGGAACACCGAUGGCGAAGGCAGCCCCCUGGACCUGUACUGACGCUCAUGCACGAAAGCGUGGGGAGCAAACAGGAUUAGAUACCCUGGUAG
rnacentral:rRNA from 1 species